AUAGCCCUUAGUAGAAUUAAAUUGCUGUGGCUAAACUUAGCAAUCCGGCUUUUUGGUGGGAACAAUCUGUGGCUAAAUCAAAAACCAUUGUGGCCUAAGCGGUGACAAAUCCAUUUGGGAUCUAAUCCUCUGGACCUUAAUGAACUUCACCGCUAGCUUCAAACAAAC
rnacentral:snoRNA from 1 species